ACAUGCAAGUCGAGGGGAACGACAUCGAAAGCUUGCUUUUGAUGGGCGUCGACCGGCGCACGGGUGAGUAACGCGUAUCCAACCUGCCCACCACUUGGGGAUAACCUUGCGAAAGUAAGACUAAUACCCAAUGACGUCUCUAGAAGACAUCUGAAGGAGAUUAAAGAUUUAUCGGUGAUGGAUGGGGAUGCGUCUGAUUAGCUUGUUGGCGGGGUAACGGCCCACCAAGGCGACGAUCAGUAGGGGUUCUGAGAGGAAGGUCCCCCACAUUGGAACUGAGACACGGUCCAAACUCCUACGGGAGGCAGCAGUGAGGAAUAUUGGUCAAUGGACGAGAGUCUGAACCAGCCAAGUAGCGUGCAGGAUGACGGCCCUAUGGGUUGUAAACUGCUUUUAUAAGGGAAUAAAGUGAGAGUCGUGACUCUUUUUGCAUGUACCUUAUGAAUAAGGACCGGCUAAUUCCGUGCCAGCAGCCGCGGUAAUACGGAAGGUCCGGGCGUUAUCCGGAUUUAUUGGGUUUAAAGGGAGCGUAGGCCGGAGAUUAAGCGUGCUGUGAAAUGUAGAUGCUCAACAUCUGAACUGCAGCGCGAACUGGUUUCCUUGAGUACGCACAAAGUGGGCGGAAUUCGUGGUGUAGCGGUGAAAUGCUUAGAUAUCACGAAGAACUCCGAUUGCGAAGGCAGCUCACUGGAGCGCAACUGACGCUGAAGCUCGAAAGUGCGGGUAUCGAACAGGAUUAGAUACCCUGGUAGUCCGCACGGUAAACGAUGGAUGCCCGCUGUUGGUCUGAAUAGGUCAGCGGCCAAGCGAAAGCAUUAAGCAUCCCACCUGGGGAGUACGCCGGCAACGGUGAAACUCAAAGGAAUUGACGGGGGCCCGCACAAGCGGAGGAACAUGUGGUUUAAUU
rnacentral:rRNA from 1 species